rnacentral:rRNA from 1 species
CCUGCCCAAGAGAUCGGGAUAACACCUGGAAACAGAUGCUAAUACCGGAUAACAACAGAUGAUGCCUAUCAACUGUUUAAAAGAUGGUUCUGCUAUCACUCUUGGAUGGACCUGCGGUGCAUUAGCUAGUCGGUAGGGUAACGGCCUACCAAGGCGAUGAUGCAUAGCCGAGUUGAGAGACUGAUCGGCCACAUUGGGACUGAGACACGGCCCAAACUCCUACGGGAGGCAGCAGCC